rnacentral:rRNA from 1 species
AGCGUACACGGUGGAUGCCCUGGCAGUCAGAGGCGAUGAAGGACGUGCUAAUCUGCGAUAAGCGUCGGUGAGGUGAUAUGAACCGUUAUAACCGGCGAUUUCCGAAUGGGGAAACCCAGUGUGUUUCGACACACUAUCAUUAACUGAAUCCAUAGGUUAAUGAGGCGAACCGGGGGAACUGAAACAUCUAAGUACCCCGAGGAAAAGAAAUCAACCGAGAUUCCCCCAGUAGCGGCGAGCGAACGGGGAGGAGCCCAGAGCCUGAAUCAGUGUGUGUGUUAGUGGAAGCGUCUGGAAAGGCGCGCGAUACAGGGUGACAGCCCCGUACACAAAAAUGCACAUAUUGUGAGCUCGAUGAGUAGGGCGGGACACGUGGUAUCCUGUCUGAAUAUGGGGGGACCAUCCUCCAAGGCUAAAUACUCCUGACUGACCGAUAGUGAACCAGUACCGUGAGGGAAAGGCGAAAAGAACCCCGGCGAGGGGAGUGAAAAAGAACCUGAAACCGUGUACGUACAAGCAGUGGGAGCCUCUUAAUGGGGUGACUGCGUACCUUUUGUAUAAUGGGUCAGCGACUUAUAUUCUGUAGCAAGGUUAACCGAAUAGGGGAGCCGAAGGGAAACCGAGUCUUAACUGGGCGUUAAGUUGCAGGGUAUAGACCCGAAACCCGGUGAUCUAGCCAUGGGCAGGUUGAAGGUUGGGUAACACUAACUGGAGGACCGAACCGACUAAUGUUGAAAAAUUAGCGGAUGACUUGUGGCUGGGGGUGAAAGGCCAAUCAAACCGGGAGAUAGCUGGUUCUCCCCGAAAGCUAUUUAGGUAGCGCCUCGUGAAUUCAUCUCCGGGGGUAGAGCACUGUUUCGGCAAGGGGGUCAUCCCGACUUACCAACCCGAUGCAAACUGCGAAUACCGGAGAAUGUUAUCACGGGAGACACACGGCGGGUGCUAACGUCCGUCGUGAAGAGGGAAACAACCCAGACCGCCAGCUAAGGUCCCAAAGUCAUGGUUAAGUGGGAAACGAUGUGGGAAGGCCCAGACAGCCAGGAUGUUGGCUUAGAAGCAGCCAUCAUUUAAAGAAAGCGUAAUAGCUCACUGGUCGAGUCGGCCUGCGCGGAAGAUGUAACGGGGCUAAACCAUGCACCGAAGCUGCGGCAGCGACGCUUAUGCGUUGUUGGGUAGGGGAGCGUUCUGUAAGCCUGUGAAGGUGGCCUGUGAGGGUUGCUGGAGGUAUCAGAAGUGCGAAUGCUGACAUAAGUAACGAUAAAGCGGGUGAAAAGCCCGCUCGCCGGAAGACCAAGGGUUCCUGUCCAACGUUAAUCGGGGCAGGGUGAGUCGACCCCUAAGGCGAGGCCGAAAGGCGUAGUCGAUGGGAAACAGGUUAAUAUUCCUGUACUUGGUGUUACUGCGAAGGGGGGACGGAGAAGGCUAUGUUGGCCGGGCGACGGUUGUCCCGGUUUAAGCGUGUAGGCUGGUUUUCCAGGCAAAUCCGGAAAAUCAAGGCUGAGGCGUGAUGACGAGGCACUACGGUGCUGAAGCAACAAAUGCCCUGCUUCCAGGAAAAGCCUCUAAGCAUCAGGUAACAUCAAAUCGUACCCCAAACCGACACAGGUGGUCAGGUAGAGAAUACCAAGGCGCUUGAGAGAACUCGGGUGAAGGAACUAGGCAAAAUGGUGCCGUAACUUCGGGAGAAGGCACGCUGAUAUGUAGGUGAAGCGACUUGCUCGUGGAGCUGAAAUCAGUCGAAGAUACCAGCUGGCUGCAACUGUUUAUUAAAAACACAGCACUGUGCAAACACGAAAGUGGACGUAUACGGUGUGACGCCUGCCCGGUGCCGGAAGGUUAAUUGAUGGGGUUAGCGGUAACGCGAAGCUCUUGAUCGAAGCCCCGGUAAACGGCGGCCGUAACUAUAACGGUCCUAAGGUAGCGAAAUUCCUUGUCGGGUAAGUUCCGACCUGCACGAAUGGCGUAAUGAUGGCCAGGCUGUCUCCACCCGAGACUCAGUGAAAUUGAACUCGCUGUGAAGAUGCAGUGUACCCGCGGCAAGACGGAAAGACCCCGUGAACCUUUACUAUAGCUUGACACUGAACAUUGAGCCUUGAUGUGUAGGAUAGGUGGGAGGCUUUGAAGUGUGGACGCCAGUCUGCAUGGAGCCGACCUUGAAAUACCACCCUUUAAUGUUUGAUGUUCUAACGUGGGCCCCUAAUCGGGGUUGCGGACAGUGUCUGGUGGGUAGUUUGACUGGGGCGGUCUCCUCCUAAAGAGUAACGGAGGAGCACGAAGGUUGGCUAAUCCUGGUCGGACAUCAGGAGGUUAGUGCAAUGGCAUAAGCCAGCUUGACUGCGAGCGUGACGGCGCGAGCAGGUGCGAAAGCAGGUCAUAGUGAUCCGGUGGUUCUGAAUGGAAGGGCCAUCGCUCAACGGAUAAAAGGUACUCCGGGGAUAACAGGCUGAUACCGCCCAAGAGUUCAUAUCGACGGCGGUGUUUGGCACCUCGAUGUCGGCUCAUCACAUCCUGGGGCUGAAGUAGGUCCCAAGGGUAUGGCUGUUCGCCAUUUAAAGUGGUACGCGAGCUGGGUUUAGAACGUCGUGAGACAGUUCGGUCCCUAUCUGCCGUGGGCGCUGGAGAACUGAGGGGGGCUGCUCCUAGUACGAGAGGACCGGAGUGGACGCAUCACUGGUGUUCGGGUUGUCAUGCCAAUGGCACUGCCCGGUAGCUAAAUGCGGAAGAGAUAAGUGCUGAAAGCAUCUAAGCACGAAACUUGCCCCGAGAUGAGUUCUCCCUGACUCCUUGA